UACGAAGGGGGCUAGCGUUGCUCGGAAUGACUGGGCGUAAAGGGCGCGUAGGCGGCCUGGACAGUCAGGUGUGAAAUUCCUGGGCUUAACCUGGGGGCUGCACUUGAUACGUGUGGGCUAGAGUAGGGAAGAGGGUCGUGGAAUUCCCAGUGUAGAGGUGAAAUUCGUAGAUAUUGGGAAGAACACCGGUGGCGAAGGCGGCGACCUGGUCCUUUUACUGACGCUGAGGCGCGAAAGCGUGGGGAGCAAA
rnacentral:rRNA from 1 species